rnacentral:rRNA from 1 species
AUUAGCUUGUUGGUGAGGUAAUGGCUUACCAAGGCAAUGAUCAGUAGCUGGUCUGAGAGGAUGAUCAGCCACACUGGGACUGAGACACGGCCCAGACUCCUACGGGAGGCAGCAGUGAGGAAUUUUCCGCAAUGGGCGAAAGCCUGACGGAGCAAUACCGCGUGAAGGAUGAAGGCCUAUGGGUUGUAAACUUCUUUUCUUAGAGAAGAAUUUUGACGGUAUCUAAGGAAUAAGCAUCGGCUAACUCUGUGCCAGCAGCCGCGGUAAUACAGAGGAUGCAAGCGUUAUCCGGAAUGAUUGGGCGUAAAGCGUCUGUAGGUGGUUUACCAAGUCUUCUGUCAAAGAUCAGGGCUUAACCCUGGGCAGGCAGGAGAAACUAAUAGACUAGAGUUCGGUAGAGGCAGAGGGAAUUCCCGGUGGAGCGGUGAAAUGCGUAGAGAUCGGGAGGAACACCAAGGGCGAAAGCACUCUGCUGGGCCGCGACUGACACUGAGAGACGAAAGCGAGGGGAGCAAAUGGGAUUAGAUACCCCAGUAGUCCUCGCCC